rnacentral:rRNA from 1 species
UCCUACGGGAGGCAGCAGUGGGGAAUAUUGCACAAUGGGGGAAACCCUGAUGCAGCGACGCCGCGUGAGUGAAGAAGUAUUUCGGUAUGUAAAGCUCUAUCAGCAGGAACGAGACAAGACGGUACAUGACUAAGAAGCCCCGGCUAACUACGUGCCAGCAGCCGCGGUAAUACGUAGGGGGCAAGCGUUAUCAGGAAGUACUGGGUGUAAAGGGUGAGGAGGAGGCAUGGUAA